rnacentral:rRNA from 1 species
AGUGAACGCUGGCGGCAUGCCUAACACAUGCAAGUCGAGCGGCAGGACAGUGAGAUCUUGCUCUUACGGGUGGCGAGUGGCGGGCGGGUGAGGCAUAGAUCGGAAUCUACUCUUUCGUGGGGGAUAUCGUAGGGCAAGUGACGCUAAUGCCGAAUACGUCGUACGGCUUGGAGCAAGCGUUCUUCGGACCUUGUGUGUUUUAGUGAGACGGUGUCGGAUUAGCUAGUUGGGUGGGUAAAGGCCUACCAAGGCGAGGAUCCGUAGCUGGACCGAGAGGAUGAUCGGCCACACGGGAACUGAGACACGGUCCAGACUCCUACGGGAGGCAGCAGUAGGGAAUCUUGCGCAAUGGGCGAAAGCCUGAUCCAGCAAUACCGCGUGAGUGAUGAAGGCCUUCGGGUCGUAAAGCUCUGUUGUUGGGGAAGAAAAAAAGCAGGUUAAGCGCCGGCGGUUCUGACGGUACCCAAAGAAGAAGCACCGGCUAACUUCGUG